rnacentral:rRNA from 1 species
CUGCAGCCCGAGUGGUGAUCGAUUUUAUUGAGCCUAAAGCGUCCGUAGCCGGACUAGUAAACCCUUGGGUAAAUUGGGCAGCUUAACUGUCCAAUUUCCGAGGGAACUGCUAGUCUUGGGACCGGGAGAGGUCAGAGGUACUCAAGGGGUAGGGGCUAAAUCCUGUAAUCCUUUGGGGACCACCAGUGGCGAAGGCGUCUGACUAGAACGGAUCCGACGGUAAGGGACGAAACCCUGGGGCGCGAACCGGAUUAGAUACCCGAGUAGUCC